CAUUCAACAGGGUCCAAUGGCAUUACCUAUUCACACUACUGCAUCAAAUGCACCUACCGGACACCUUUGUCACAGCAGUGAGAGCCCUAUACACUAAUCCCAGAGCGCAAACAACGAUACCUGGAGCAGUGCCAUGCUCAUUCAACCUGAAAAAUGGCUGCCCCCUUUCCCCUCUCCUGUUCAUACUAGCCCUUGAGUCAUUACUAAACCUGAUAAGAGAGCACCCACGGAUAACAGGCAUAAAUGUGGCAGCAGAGGAAUUUAAAGUAUCUGCG